GUUUCUAGCAGGCUGUAAAACUAAUAACUUGAAGCGGUGCCGUGGCCUGGAUAAUGUCCUGGAUUCUGAAACAGUGAACUCCAACAAAGCUCUGAUCUCAAGCAACAAGAUUGGUGGAGAUAAAGAAGAGCUUCCAAGAGAGUGAAGAGCAUGAAUAAGGAUGUGUUUCAAGAACUCACUGACGUAGCCAUUCAAAGGCUGCAGCUCUUGGAGUGCCGAAGUGUUGGCACGCUGCUUGCCUUACGAGCCUGUGAAACCCGUGAACAAAAGCUAUGGUCCUACAAAGUGGCGCAAUUCCCUCAUGUUGGCUGGCAUCAAACUCCAAAUGCUGCACAGGAAGAAAUCUUCCCUCCCAAGCCUGCCAGCCCAGGAACCUAAGCUUUUGUGAGUUCAUGUGGGGAGAAAUAUCUUAAAUAGGUUAUACAUUUAUUGUUACCACUGUACACCUGUAGAACUCUGCAGAACUGAAGGCACCAGACAGAUGGGAAACCUGAAGAGCAUAUGAGCUUCCUGCAGGUGUCUCAAAGGGAAAUAGGAAAAAGGACAAGCGGCUGUGAUCAAAAUUUGCUGUGAAAGAAGACAAAGAAGAGGAGGCAAAAUAGUUUCUGUUCUUUCUAUGGAGUUUUUAAAGGUCCUUGAUGUAAUUAGAUUUUUUAACUUAUUGUUCAGAAUACAUAGUUUGCACAUAUCUUUGAAAUCUUGGUUUAGUAUUCUGUGUGCUACUUUAUACUUAGAAAUUUGAGCCUACAUUCUCUAACUGGAAUCCUUUGCAGGCAAAACACAGACAGUGGGCUUGUGAAUGCCUUCAAAAAUCUUUUGUAAUAUGAAAAACUAUUGAAGCUCCAAAACUACCUAUACACCUCUAUAUUUUACCACUUAUGUUUGUGAUGAAUAGCACUUAGGAAACAUGGUCAAAUAGGACAAGUGAUUAGAAAGGACUUCUUGAGUCACCUAGUCCAGGUAACCUUGUCGUAUGCUCCCUUUCAUAACUCAAACUCCACAUUAAGAGUAGGUGGGUUGUUAGACUCCAUCAUCCCAAGGGAGUUUUUCCAGAUUGUGAUUACACCAGUGAUUUAGACAUUUCUUCUAACUUACAGUCUAAAUGUGUCAGUGGCUGGUGUGCAUCCAUCUGUUCUUACGGUAAAGUUGUUCUUGUGUAAGUGCCUUUCUUUGGAGUUUUUGUUUUGCUAGCAUAAGCUAUUAGCAUAUAUAUUCUUGUAAUGCAGACUUUGUUUUUCAUGUGAUAAUCCUGAUAACUUUCCUCUAAUCCCACUCUGUGUCUCUUGGGAAUUCAUGUCACUUGAGAAUGGGGAACCUACUGUUGUACCUGCUAUUGCAAAUGGGAGCUAACCAAACCUUGUACAGUAGUAUUACUAUUUCCCUUUGUGACGUAUUGAUAGCAGAGACACUUUUAAAACGUUUUAAGGCUGAAGUUCUCUCUUUACAGCUGCAUCAUGUUAUUGUUCAUAACUGCCCUUAGCUCAGGGGAAAAAGCUCUAUUGUUGCUAGCUGAUGAGUUCCUUGCUUAUAGUAAAAAUGAAGUAAUUCCCUGGUGUAUGAACUUGUUUUUAUGCUACUGAGUUUCCUCCUUUUUCUGUUACUUUGGUUCACAAAGUCCUCAUACAACAUACUCUAAUCCUCUGAAUUGAUGUUUCUUCCCAGUUUUGUGUCAUCAUCAAAUUCUAUUAGCACAUGCUGACGUUCUGAGCCAAUGCUAUGAGGAAAAAUAUUAAGUAAGAUCAGUCUUGGAAGCAGUCCCGAGGAAGUACCUCUGUUACUCUAACUGUUCUCCAUUUAUCACUGCCUGGGACCUUGUCCCCUCAGCCAGAGCUUCACCCAUUUCAAAAUUCAUGCAUCAACCUCUGCUGUUUCUAGGUACAUUCAUACGCUACCCUGCAGCCUUUUUGGAACCCAAGAGGAAAGAUUUACUGCAAAGCUCGUACCUCAAAAAUAAGCUGCCAGAUUUCACAAGAGUGAUCCACCUGUGUUGAACUAGUCUUGUACCUCAUUGCACUCACCUCUCUGCCUUCAGCUGCACCUGUGGUUUCCUUCUUUAAAACACUGGCUUCUGUGAAGAUCGGGCCUGAAAUGCUCAGAACCAGAGCUUAAGCAGUGCUUGUAUGAAGCUAUAUUUUCCUGUUGCCCACGAUCAUAGAAUCACAGUAUCUUUAAGAUUGGAAAAAACCACUAAGAUCAUCGAGUCCAACCAUGAACUUAUCCCCACAUGGUUUGCUGUUUUCCAAGUGCUCGGCAUUUUCUCCACGCUCAGUGGUGGGGAGCACUGGACAGCAAAUGACAGGACACAGCUGUGUCCCCAUUCUUCUGCUCUAGACCUACACCUGGCCAGUGCAGGGAACCAUAAGCAUUACAAUGCUUAUGUAAAUGGUCCGUGAGUGUCAACAGUCACAUUUUUUGAGAGGCAAAAAAUAAACAGUCUGUCCCUGAUACUUCUAAUCUGCUGAUUUUCCUAAACCUGUCAUAAAUAAAAACAUUUAGUUUAUACACAGUCUUUUUAUUAGCACUUCUGGACCACAUAAAGUAACAUUUACCUGACAUGUAAUGAUGUAGUACCUUUUCCAAAAGAAUAUGUCUGUGCCCAAACUUAGCAUCUCUCUUUCCUAAUGUCUCCAUUACCAGGUUAUUUAUCAGUACAUGGUGUACUGCCCAAUUAGGUAUGUGUUCCAGUAGCUUAAAGGAGUGAGAACAGCUUUAUUUAACAGUUGGUAAUUAAAAGUGAGUCUCUGGGGAGAAAGGCUUCCCCUGAUCAUCACUUCUUGUUUUUAAAGAUGCAACUACGACAGAUUCAGUGAGGCGAGGGAGCAGAACCUGCUAUCACUAGCUAUUGUGUAUUGAGGUGUACACUGAAAUUAGAAGUACAAGUCAACUAAUGGAAACCAUAGUGACACUGAAACCCAGGUUAAUCUAUAGUGACAGUGAAGACUACCAGCUCCAGUGGUGGUGGAGAUAAAGGAAAGCCAACACUAGGGAUGAGGGAUACAAAUUUACCACACUUUUCUUCCAGCUGUAGAAGCUGUUGAGACCUUGGCUGUGUGACUACUGCCACUCCUUGGGUGCUGAGGGCGUAAGCAAGAUGUUGACCAGCAGCACAGCUCACAAAAGAUUCCUGGAAAUAACAGGCCUUGAAAGUGUGCAUGCCUCUUCAUCCCAUCCUGUCGUAGGAGUGUUAACCAAGUCAGAAUCAAAGGAAGCUUAUGGCUAUUCAUCUGCAGCACGGGAAAGCUGUGGGGCUUCGAUUGUACACCAAGGAGCUUGUAAUAAGACAGAUGUGCAGUAUUCACAGCAACUACUUUUAAAAGCUGUUCACUUCUUUUCUGAUGAAAGGGCAAUCUACAGUAACAUCCUAAAUCCAAGGAAAGGGACAAGUUCCUAUAAAGUAAAUGGUGGAACUUACAGCAGCCUUGAAAGGCAUCCUUUAGCUAAUGUUCUGGGGUAACGGGUCUGAAUCAAAGAGUAAGGUGCAAGUAUGCUUCUAUAUCAUCUUCCAUGGUAUAGGAGAGUGCAUGGAUGCUUAACGUGGUUAUCAUGCACGUAAGUAGCACAUACUUCAGUCAGUGCUUAAGUUAAGCAUUGAGAAGACAUCAUAAAAGAAGAAAGAAAGCAGUAACACUAGGAUGCUUACCAGUCAAAAUUUCUAUAACAUAAUUUGAAGACUAAAUUAAGCUCAUAUUGAUGGACUACAGAUGUUACUGCUCCAGUCUCAAAUGAAAGAGGUUUAUGGGAGUUUGUCUUUUGGGGAAGUUAAAUCAGGGCUAGUGUUUCUGAAAUUUUUGUGUCCAGUUGUGAAGUGGUUUGGGCAAUAUUACAAUAUUUAAAUACUUUUUUUUCACUGAAGGGGAGGGGAAUAUAUCUCAGUUUUAGUUCUGACCUGUUACAGAUUUGUUGGUUUUAUAGUUUCCUCUUCCCGAGCAUGAGCACAGGGUUUUUCACUGAGUCCACUCAAUGAGAGCUUGUUGAAGAGCACUGCUCCGCUUGCAUCUCUGAUGAACAAAUGGUUUGCUUUGUUGUUGGAUUCUGCAGCUGACUCUCAGUAUUUUCCUUGCCUUACUGCUAAAAAAGAGUACCAACAGGACAAAUUCUUCUCUGGAAAAUCAUCAUGCACUUAUAUGCUUCAUAGCUGAAAAAAAUAAAUUGGAUAUAGUUAGUUUUUAUAGUUAGUUUUCAGAGCCUGGAUAGUUGUCCAGCUGUGAAGUAGUGUCCUUAGUGGAUUUCAUUAUCUGGCUGAGAAGUCGUCAAAAAAAACCCACAAAAAACCCUGCAGAAAACAAGUCUGACUUGAACAUCUGGAAAAUGAGGAGUGGAAAACAAAUGAAAGGGCCUGAUGUAUUCUGUGCCAGUAGGAUUUGCAAAGAGAUGCAAAUGACUAAGGGUGAGUGAUCUACUUUCUGUAAGCAAUCAGCGUGACAGACUUAACCCCUUUUUUUGUUUGCAAAUUGUCCUGAAUUAAGUGCUGCUGCUUACAGAUGUGUUUGCUAUUUGCAUACACUUUGUGAAUAAACUUCUGCCUGUGUGUUAGUCAUGCACUGUUCAGCAUGACUAUUGCUUGAGUGUUUGUUGUUUAUAGAGUGUGAUUCACCAGACCUGCAAGGAGCUGUAAGGAGGGCUGCAAUGAGCAUUACUAGAAAUAUGCGUAUGAAUGAAUAUUCACAAAUUGUGAGCAUGUUUGUGAUGCAUUUCAUUUCCCUGCAAACAACCAUAUUUUGGAAGAAAACUUUAUUUGUACAGAAAAAAUACCCUGUGAUUAGGAACCUUUGGAAUGGGAAUGGUUGUGGAAAACUUCUUGAAGCCAUUUAUAUCUGAGUUUCUUCUAUCAAGCCAACUGGCAAGUGUCCAACCAAGGGCAGAAGGGUGUGUACAACAGUGGGUACAACCUAGUAAUACACUUGAUAUGGUUCUCGUGUUGGCCUCUUGAGAUAAGCACUUGGGCUUCCAUCACAGGGUGCUUCCUGGUUGUAUCCAUUAUUUUUCCCUGUUACUGCAGGUGUGCCUUUAGGCUAACCAAUGCUCUCUUCUGCCGUGGCCUUGGUCUCUUGUGGGAUCUCUGUUGUCGGAGUUGUUGCAGCAGAGUUUGCUCCUGCUAUAGGGACAAAGGCUGUGGCAUCGGUGGUGUUAAAGACUGGCAGGUGGGUGGCCUUGGUGCACCCUGCAAGAAGGAAAUUUUGGGCUGUAUGGUAUCAGGCCUGGAUACAUGACCUGAAGGUCUUUCCAUGUGAGUUCAGUGAAUAUCCUACCUGCUUUAGUCAAGUUAUUGUUUGGUUUGCACUGGGAAAUGCCCAGUGCCCACAUAUUGUGCCCACAAAAAGAUCUCCACCUCAUUAAAAAAAAUAACAAGGUGCCACUUGACUGUCCCGUACUGGCAAAAUUGCUCAGACUGAGUUACUGGUGAGUACAGAGUUGAAAUGUUUGCUUUUGCAGUGCAAAAUAUUAACAAAAAUGUCAUUGUCUUUUCCUUCUCUUAGACCACCCAAAGGAAGACCCCUUUCUCCUCUCAGAGGACCUCUGGUCUGGUCCCUGCUGUACCUCGCAAUUGCAAGGUCGGAGGGAGUUCCUGGACCCCAGAGGUGUUCAGACUUACUGGAAUCAUGGCAUAGCCAGAAAGUAAAACUGGGGGCGUGAGGAAAAGGCUGAGUGUGAGGAAAUGGCAGAAACAGACUAAUAUUAGAGAAGUUGCAUGGACACAUAGGCUCGCUCUGUAGAGCUCAAGGCUCCCAGGCCAUGUAAAAGUUCAAGGGUCACUUCAAAAAAUAUGUUUUAUAUCAAAUAUAAACACUCUGUGCUCUCAAGAUGCCUCCCUUCCUUGUCUUAAUUUUCAUUAAGAAAACACAAUUCUGGUUUAGGGUGUUGUUCUUUAGGGGGGGAAGGGAGGGAAAUAGAAGCUGAGGAAGAUCCUUUUUUUGUUAGUUUUAAAGCAUGAAAAGGCAAGAAAACAAAACACAUGGUAGAGGAUUUGUUGUAGCCCCAGCAGUCCCCUUAUCUUUCUUUUUCUGCUGACUUCCUGCUCUGAAUGCUUUGGCAGCUUUGAGGGCAGCGUAUAAACUUUGCAAACAUGAAGGAAUUCAAAUGGAACCCUGGACGUCAUCACAUUUUCCAAGUUGGACAUAAAUCACAGUUUGUUAUGGUUAUUCUCUUGAGAGGCAGAACAUGUGCAAGGAGAUAAGAGCUUGGAGGAAGGAGAGGCAUAGGGUAUCUCAGAAGAAAAGAAAGGUCAGUAGGAAAGGCCUAGUAAGAAAUGUUUUGACAGUGUCAAUUGAGCUGAAGAGUCAUUGAGGAAUUGGUGUGAGUUCUCAUUGUUGCAGACAUUGCCCCACCUAAAUUUAAGAAGGCUUGCUAUGGAGAUGGCAGGGAACUCUAUCCCUUGUCAUUCAGAUUUUGUGUUACUGAAAGUGGGAUUUUCCUGGUGAGACAGUAUUUUCCAACCACAGCAGUGCAUGAUUCAUCAGCCAGAUCUGCAGGUGAUAUAAAUAGACACAGCUUCUGCUAGCUUCAGUGGUCUUGCACUGACUUACAUCAGCACAUGAAACUUGGGAUGGAAAGUUCCCAUCAGUUUGCCCUGUCUCUACCCCAGCUGCUGCCAGCUAUGUCAGUCCAGGCCUGAGUUAGGACGAGUUACAGAGUUGUCCCCAGCUAACUGGAAAACUCAGUUUCUGUUAAUGAGCUGACGGCAUAGGCCUUUUCUAAUAUUCAUCCUAUGUUUUCCCAUGCCUAAUCCUGCUUUGCUCUUUGUUUGGCGACUUUUUUCUCAGUUUCUGGUGCUGUUUGGUUGUUUGGGGUACAGCGUGUUCUGCUGGCCCUCUGCAACAAAACUGGGCACUCGCGGUUUUCUGCUUCAGUGCUCCUUCAGAGAUCUGAACCCUGGGUUUGGCUGUGAAUUGAGCUCUUUUAAAUAUUAAUCUUUUAACUGGAGAGUUAACUGCUUAUCUGGUGGGAGGUUAACCUGCAAAACUGCUCUAGAAAAGAAGGUAAUUAUAUUUAUAACUUGGCUGCAUUGUGUGGAAUGCAAACAAGGGUUAAGUGGCUGUAAUUACCUACGCAGUAUGCAACGUGUCAAUCCUAUUCUACAACAACAGGAGCAAGGCCAGCUGAGCCUGGACCUGUUGCUUUGGCCGCCCGUGGGUUUCCAAGAAGCUUCCACCCUGCCACUUUUCUCUGCUUAACCAGCAUAUUUCAUAAGAAUAACAUCCAAUCACUGUGUUAAGUGGUGCUCAGAGGUGUUUUUAUCUCCCUUGGUAUGCUAUUAUUUGCUCCGUUAUGAUGCCACAGAAUGAACAAGUGGAACAACAGGUUGGAAGACGUUUGUUAUUUUCAGACAUAUUCAAUGAGGCGUUUUUUGCAUCCCUAUUAUACCAGGCCUCCAAGGAAAGGAGGGAUGUGUAUAAUUUGGCUGAGCUUGUUUCUUUCACGAGGAAUGACGUCAAUAAUCUCCAGAAAUAAAAUACAAUGAGACUUGCUCUCUUCAUGCUGGAUUUGGCAAAAAAAAAAAAAAAAAA